rnacentral:misc_RNA from 1 species
UCGGGAUCAAGCAGAUAUAUAGAUCAAAACAGACCUUAUUAAUCAAAACCCAAAAACAGCUUCCAAAAUAAAUUUUACAAAAUCAGAAUAAUUUUGACGAGAUAAACGAAACCCGCAACCCAAAAUGGCUUAAUUUACAAGCGUUUUCACGGAUCUUGAGAUCAAAACCACAGAUCGGGAGUUUGUGUAUCCUAAACCUAAAAAUG